GACGAACGCUGGCGGCGUGCUUAACACAUGCAAGUCGAACGGAAAGGCCUUUUCGGAGGUACUCGAGUGGCGAACGGGUGAGUAACACGUGGGUGAUCUUCCCUGCACUCUGGGAUAAGCCUGGGAAACUGGGUCUAAUACCGGAUAGGACCGCACUUUAGUGUGUGUGGUGGCAAGGUUUUUCGGUGUAGGAUGAGCCCGCGGCCUAUCAGCUUGUUGGUGGGGUAAUGGCCUACCAAGGCGGCGACGGGUAGCCGGACUGAGAGGUUGGGCGGCCACAUUGGGACUGAGGUACGGCCCAGACUCCUACGGGAGGCAGAAGUGGGGAAUAUUGCACAAUGGGCGCAAGCCGGAUGCAGCGACGCCGCGGGGGGGAGGACGGCCUUCGGGUUGUAAACUCCCUUCGCCAGGGACGAAGCGUUUUGUGACGGUACCUGGAGAAGAAGCACCGGCUAACUACGUG
rnacentral:rRNA from 1 species